rnacentral:rRNA from 1 species
GAGAUAGCUUAGUGCCUUCGGGAACUCUGAGACAGGUGCUGCAUGGCUGUCGUCAGCUCGUGUUGUGAAAUGUUGGGUUAAGUCCCGCAACGAGCGCAACCCUUAUCCUUUGUUGCCAGCACGUAAUGGUGGGAACUCAAAGGAGACUGCCGGUGAUAAACCGGAGGAAGGUGGGGAUGACGUCAAGUCAUCAUGGCCCUUACGAGUAGGGCUACACACGUGCUACAAUGGCGUAUACAAAGAGAAGCGAACUCGCGAGAGCAAGCGGACCUCAUAAAGUACGUCGUAGUCCGGAUCGGAGUCUGCAACUCGACUCCUUGAAGUCGGAAUCGCUAGUAAUCGUAGAUCAGAAUGCUACGGUGAAUACGUUCCCG